CGUGGGUAACCUGCCCAAGAAAUCGGGAUAACACCUGGAAACAGAUGCUAAUACCGGAUAACAACAGAUGAUGCCUAUCAACUGUUUAAAAGAUGGUUCUGCUAUCACUCUUGGAUGGACCUGCGGUGCAUUAGCUAGUUGGUAGGGUAACGGCCUACCAAGGCGAUGAUGCAUAGCCGAGUUGAGAGACUGAUCGGCCACAUUGGGACUGAGACACGGCCCAAACUCCUACGGGAGGCAGCAGCC
rnacentral:rRNA from 1 species